AAGCAAGGCCAUUAGAAGUUACUUGAGUGCUAAAAUCAGAACAAUCCAGACAGGAUUAGCCUGACGGCUGAGCGAGGAUGAUGCCCAAAUUCGUGCAGCGUUCCAUAUUUUU
ensembl:snRNA U6 U6 spliceosomal RNA